rnacentral:rRNA from 1 species
AUGACUGGAAAGGGAGGUUUUGGUAAAGUAUACAAGGGAAUGUUAGGUGGUCAAGAAGUUGCAAUCAAGAGGAUAAGUAGAGAUUCUCGACAAGGAACAAAAGAAUUUAGGAAUGAAGUAAUUCUAAUUGCCAAGUUGCAACAUAGAAACUUGGUUCGACUUCUUGGAUGUUGCAGCGAGGGAGAUGAAAAACUCUUGAUAUACGAGUAUCUACCAAAUAAGAGCUUAGAUGCUACCCUUUUUGAUGAGUCAAGAAAAAUGAUGUUGGACUGGCCGACAAGAUUCCGUAUAAUCAAAGGGAUUGCAAGGGGACUUCUAUAUCUUCAUGAAGACUCGAGGUCCACCGUAAUUCAUAGAGAUCUCAAAGCUGGAAAUGUUUUGCUCGAUGCAAAUUUGAAACCCAAGAUAGCUGAUUUUGGUAUGGUGAGGAUCUUUGGUGAUAACGAGGAAAAUGCAAAUACCCAACGCAUUGUUGGAACAUAUGGCUACAUGGCUCCUGAGUAUGCAAUGGAAGGAGUCUUCUCUACCAAGUCUGACGUGUACAGUUUCGGCAUGUUACUACUAGAGUCAUGGAAUAUGUGGAAGGAAGAAAAGACUGAGGAGCUGCCUAGCUCAUCCAUCAUAGAUACUUCACCAGAUGAAGUUUUGCUUUGCGUCCAUGUAGCGCUAUUGUGCGUCCAGGAAAACCCUGAUGAUAGGCCUCUCAUGUCAUCUGUGGUGUUUGGCCUAGAGAAUGGAAGCACCACACUUACAUCCCCCAAUCUCUCCGCCUACUUUGCGCGAUGA